UGGUUCCUACGGGGCGCAGCAGUGGGGGAUAUUGGACAAUGGGGGGAACCCUGAUCCAGCGACGCCGCGUGAGUGAAGAAGUAUUUCGGUAUGUAAAGCUCUAUCAGCAGGGAAGAAAAUGACGGUACCUGACUAAGAAGCCCCGGCUAACCACGUGCCAGCAGCCGCGGUAAUACGUAGGGGGCAAGCGUUAUCCGGAUUUACUGGGCGUAAAGGGAGCGUAGGUGGCAUGGUAAGCCAGAAGUGAAAACCCAGGGCUCAACUCUGUGGAUUGCUUUUGGAACUAUCAAGCUAGAGUGUUGGAG
rnacentral:rRNA from 1 species